UACGUAGGCACCAAGCGUUGUCCGGAUUUAUUGGGCGUAAAGAGCUCGUAGGCGGCUCGGUAAGUCGGGUGUGAAAACUCUGGGCUCAACCCAGAGAUGCCACCCGAUACUGCCGUGACUGGAGUGCGGUAGGGGAGUGGGGAAUUCCUGGUGUAGCGGUGAAAUGCGCAGAUAUCAGGAGGAACACCAGUGGCGAAGGCGGGUCUCUGGGCCGAUACUGACGCUGAGGAGCGAAGGCGUGGGGAGCGAACAGG
rnacentral:rRNA from 1 species